UGAAAUCAAGAGAUGAAUAUAAAUAGGCAAUAUCUUACAUUCAGACUGAAUAUUAAGCAUUAAACUUGUAUGUGACAUUUAAUUGCAAAUUUUGAAGGGCAUGCUGUUGGUUUCAGUAUGAAACAAUGGAAACGUUUCUAUCCAACUGCCCUGGAACAAAUGAAGAUGACCACCAGACUAGACUUGUCUGCUCAAGGGGCCUCCCAGAUGCAAAUUUAUUGACAGCAUCUGAAAGAUAGGUGGAUGAACUUGCGUCCAUUUUCUCAUAUUUGAAACUAGAUGGAAUCUUCUGCUUUGUUGCUUUUUUGGGAGGAUGUCAAGACAAAAGCAGGAAGGUGACGAGUCAUUUUCAUCUAUUAUAUUAGGUCACAUGUUGCUGUUGGGAGUUACAUCCAUGGUAAAUCAUCGAAACUGUUCUUAUAGGCUCUUCCAUGCUCACAGAUGGAUUGCUGCACUAUUUGUAAUAGUACAAAAUAUGCUUAAUCACAGGUUAGUA
rnacentral:misc_RNA from 1 species